GAAGCUGACCAGACAGUCGCCGCUUCGUCGUCGUCCUUUCGGGGAGACGGGCGGAGGGAGGAAAGUCCGGCUCCAUAGGGCAGGGUGCCGUAACGCCCGGGAAACCCACGACCAGUGCAACAGAGAGCAAACCGCCGAUGGCCCACGCAAGUGGGAUCAGGUAAGGGUGAAAGGGUGCGGUAAGAGCGCACCGCGCGGCUGGUAACAGUCCGUGGCACGGUAAACUCCACCCGAGCAAGGCCAAAUAGGGGUUCAUAAGGUACGGCCCGUACUGAACCCGGGUAGGCUGCUUGAGCCAGUGAGCGAUUGCUGGCCUAGAUGAAUGACUGUCCACGACAGAACCCGGCUUAUCGGUCAGUUUCACUU
rnacentral:RNase_P_RNA from 1 species